rnacentral:misc_RNA from 1 species
AAAGUCGUAACAAGGUAACCGUAGGUGAACCUGCGGUUGGAUCAUUAAAAAAUCCGAAGUCUGGGUCAAGUUUACUUGAUGCCAGCUUCUAAACUGGUCUUAGGACCUUCAACCUUGUGUGAACCGUUAUUGACGCUGGUCAGAUCUUACUGCCGCAAGGCGGUGCUGGCCAGUCUUUUUAUAAACUUGUCUUGUUUUUCUUAAAAGUAUUUGAAUGAAUACAACUUUUGACAAUGGAUCUCUUGGCUCUC